rnacentral:rRNA from 1 species
AGAGUUUGAUCCUGGCUCAGGACGAACGCUGGCGGCGUGCCUAACACAUGCAAGUCGAACGAAGCUUGACGAAUGAUUUCUUCGGAAUGAAAUCUGAUAUGACUGAGUGGCGGACGGGUGAGUAACGCGUGAGCAACCUGCCCUUCGGAACGGGAUAGUGUCUGGAAACGGACAGUAAUACCGUAUAACGUAUUUUUACCGCAUGAUAGAAAUACCAAAACUGAGGUGCCGAAGGAUGGGCUCGCGUCUGAUUAGAUAGUUGGUGGGGUAACGGCCUACCAAGUCGACGAUCAGUAGCCGGACUGAGAGGUUGAACGGCCACAUUGGGACUGAGACACGGCCCAGACUCCUACGGGAGGCAGCAGUGGGGAAUAUUGCACAAUGGGGGAAACCCUGAUGCAGCAACGCCGCGUGAAGGAAGACGGUUUUCGGAUUGUAAACUUCUGUUCUUAGUGAAGAAUAAUGACGGUAGCUAAGGAGCAAGCCACGGCUAACUACGUGCCAGCAGCCGCGGUAAUACGUAGGUGGCAAGCGUUGUCCGGAAUUACUGGGUGUAAAGGGAGCGUAGGCGGGAUGCCAAGUCAGCUGUGAAAACUAUGGGCUUAACCCGUAGACUGCAGUUGAAACUGGUAUUCCUGAGUGAAGUAGAGGUUGGCGGAAUUCCGAGUGUAGCGGUGAAAUGCGUAGAUAUUCGGAGGAACACCGGUGGCGAAGGCGGCCAACUGGGCUUUAACUGACGCUGAGGCUCGAAAGUGUGGGGAGCAAACAGGAUUAGAUACCCUGGUAGUCCACACUGUAAACGAUGAUAACUAGGUGUGGGGGGUCUGACCCCUUCCGUGCCGCAGCUAACGCAAUAAGUUAUCCACCUGGGGAGUACGACCGCAAGGUUGAAACUCAAAGGAAUUGACGGGGGCCCGCACAAGCAGUGGAGUAUGUGGUUUAAUUCGAAGCAACGCGAAGAACCUUACCAGGUCUUGACAUCCGAUGCAUAGCACAGAGAUGUGUGAAAUCCUUCGGAACAUCGGUGACAGGUGGUGCAUGGUUGUCGUCAGCUCGUGUCGUGAGAUGUUGGGUUAAGUCCCGCAACGAGCGCAACCCUUAUUCUUAGUAGCCAGCAGGUAAGGCUGGGCACUCUAAGGAGACUGCCGGGGAUAACCCGGAGGAAGGUGGGGAUGACGUCAAAUCAUCAUGCCCCUUAUGAUCUGGGCUACACACGUGCUACAAUGGCGUAACAAAGGGAAGCGAGCCUGCGAGGGUGAGCAAAUCCCAAAAAUAACGUCCCAGUUCGGACUGUAGUCUGCAACCCGACUACACGAAGCUGGAAUCGCUAGUAAUCGCGAAUCAGAAUGUCGCGGUGAAUACGUUCCCGGGUCUUGCACUCACCGCCCGUCA